UACGUAGGGGGCUAGCGUUGUCCGGAAUCAUUGGGCGUAAAGCGCGCGUAGGCGGCCCGGUAAGUCCGCUGUGAAAGUCCAGGGCUCAACCCUGGAAAGCCGGUGGAUACUGCCGGGCUAGAGUCCGGAAGAGGCGAGUGGAAUUCCUGGUGUAGCGGUGGAAUGCGCAGAUAUCAGGAGGAACACCGAUGGCGAAGGCAGCCAUCUGGACCGACACUGACGCUGAGGCGCGAAAGCGUGGGGAGCAAACAGG
rnacentral:rRNA from 1 species